AAGCGUGACGUGGCAAGUGUCCAGACAACGAGCACUCGCGAGAGCUGAUCAAUGUUUCUGGCUCGUCACCACGUCGGAGUAUGUCGGAGUGUGAAGAGAACAGCAGCAAACGACAUAACGGCAACGGUAAACCGUUAGGUGAGUCGUAACGAGAGUUCUGCACUUUCAAUGGCAGCACCGCAAAAAGGUGCGAAACAAUCACCAAUGAUUGUAGAGAAAAUAAUGGGAGGGGACAUCGCCCAGCCCCUUCAUCUGCACCACCUUCAUUCGAAUCCUAAACCCCUACAUCCCCCACCUUCUUGUGCAUGCAGCAUCGUGCGCAGCAGGGGUUAGAGGGGUAUGCCACAGUGGCGGGUGGCCGCCCAAACUCAGCAGAUCUUGAUGUACAUCUUGGUGCACCACUCAGAACAAAUGCCUAUCCUGUGGGUUUGAUCCCAUAUAGAAGCGGGGUAGUGGAUUGGAUUACGGUUUUGGGCGUUCAGAUUGCAGAGACUGCAUCAGCAAACCGAAGGAAGUUGUUAAUAUAAAGGAGGAGGGGUGUUUUGCAGUUGUGAAACGAGGACGGAUGUUCACGCACAUGUUUCGUCUUUGAGGGGUUCCAUUAUAAUCCAAACCAAUCAUUUCAACCCUGGGGGGAUAAACUACUCCUUUACCGCGAGGCGGUAAGGAGCGUGAGACACAGUGCUAGAAACAGGCAAAGCCCGGUGCUGUUUAUGACACACGCCUUACGCUUGAGGCCCCUUGUGACGGCAGUAGAGUAGCAAUACUGGUGGUGGUCAUGGAGCGCUUGGCAUUCCAAAGUAGGUGGCGCAGGUGGCUGGCCUACUCACGGCGUCCUCCAUUACUCGCAGCUGCACUCCCUCCACCAUCUCAUACGCACAACCAAGGGGAUGGGGGCCCGCAGAUGGAGGAGAAUUAGAAGCAGUAACGGCGGUGUCAUAGGGUAAUUAUACAGGCAGGCAGGCAGGCAGAAGGUGAGGGAAGUAGGAAAGCAGGUGGGUUAGGUCGGAAAGCAGUUUAGGCAGGUCGGACAGCAGGUGGGUUAGGUCGGACAGCAGGUGGGUUAGGUCGGACAGCAGGUGGGUUAGGUCGGACAGCAGGUGGGUUAGGUCG
rnacentral:lncRNA from 1 species